rnacentral:rRNA from 1 species
GACGAACGCUGGCGGCGUGCUUAACACAUGCAAGUCGAACGGAAAGGCCUCUUUCGGGGGGUACUCGAGUGGCGAACGGGUGAGUAACACGUGAGUAACCUGCCCUUGACUUUGGGAUAACUUCAGGAAACUGGGGCUAAUACCGGAUAGGAGCUCCUGCUGCAUGGUGGGGGUUGGAAAGUUUCGGCGGUUGGGGAUGGACUCGCGGCUUAUCAGCUUGUUGGUGGGGUAGUGGCUUACCAAGGCUUUGACGGGUAGCCGGCCUGAGAGGGUGACCGGCAACAUUGGGACUGAGAUACGGCCCAGACUCCUACGGGAGGCAGUAGUGGGGAAUAUUGCACAAUGGGUGGAAGCCGGAUGCAGCAACGCCGUGUGCGGGAUGACGGCCUUCGGGUUGUAAACCGCUUUCGCUCAUGACGAAGCUUUGUGUGACGGUAGUGGGUAAAGAAGCACCGGCUAACUACGUG